rnacentral:rRNA from 1 species
AGUGAACGCUGGCGGCAGGCUUAACACAUGCAAGUCGAGCGGGCGUAGCAAUACGUCAGCGGCAGACGGGUGAGUAACGCGUGGGAACAUACCUUUGGUUCGGAACAACACAGGGAAACUUGUGCUAAUACCGGAUAAGCCCUUACGGGGAAAGAUUUAUCGCCGAAAGAUCGGCCCGCGUCUGAUUAGCUAGGUUGGUG